GAGCGCGUAGCAUACGGAGCGGCAGACGGGAGAGUAACCGUGGGAACGUGCCCUUCAGUUCGGAACAACCCAGGGAAACUUGGGCUAAUACCGGAUACGUCCGUAAGGAGAAAGAUUUAUCGCUGAAGGAUCGGCCCGCGUCUGAUUAGCUAGUUGGUGGGGUAACGGCCCACCAAGGCGACGAUCAGUAGCUGGUCUGAGAGGAUGAUCAGCCUCACUGGGACUGAGACACGGCCCAGACUCCUACGGGAGGCAGCAGUGGGGAAUAUUGGACAAUGGGCGCAAGCCUGAUCCAGCCAUGCCGCGUGGGUGAUGAAGGCCUUAGGGUUGUAAAGCCCUUUCGGCGGGGAAGAUAAUGACGGUACCCGCAGAAGAAGCCCCGGCUAACUUCGUGCCAGUAGCCGCGGUAAU
rnacentral:rRNA from 1 species